UGGCCGUCGGUUGCAGUGUAAGAGAUGGAGAAGCUGGGGGGAUUUUAUGUAUUGACUAGGAGAUUGUCUGGGUAAGGUGAAUAGCCUGUUGAACUUACUGUGCUCAUCUGUAAUACCAUCGAAGACGUUUGCAACCUCUUGGGUCUUUUAUUACGCUUGAGAUCUUCGGGAAUGUUGGAGCGAACUAAUUUGCGCACAGAAAAAGGCUGGGUUCUCUGAUGCUGGUUAAUUGGGACCAGGUCUUUGACCUAAUUUCUUGGAAAUGUGAGUUUUGGGUUCUAAUUUUUGCGAAUAUUAUCAUUGGGAAGGGGCGGCUGGGCUCGAGCUCGAGCUGCCUGCGUACCCUCCUCUAGGUAUCAAGCUUUAAGGCAGGUUAGGUUGAUGGGGGCUUGAUGUCU
rnacentral:lncRNA from 1 species